rnacentral:lncRNA from 1 species
GCCAAAGUGGGAGCCCAGGCAGAGGAGGCGCCGAGAGCUGCCAGUACGCUGUCACCUCUCAAUUGUCCCCUGCUAGAAUAACAGAGUAAUUGAUAAUCAUGGCCAUAAGAGGGGUGGGGGGGCAGAGUCAGGAAUUUCUGCACUAUGUGGCACAAGGAGCUCCCUGAGGCCUCUCCAGAAGCAGAUGCCAGCACCAUGCUUCCUGUAAAGCCUGCAGAACCAUGAGCCAAUUCUUCUUUUCUUGUCUUGCUGCUGCUCCCUCUUUGGGUCCGCACUGCCUUUAUGAGCUGUAACAGUCACCGCGAAGGUCUGCAGCUUCAAUCCUGAGGCCAGCGAGACCACGAACCCACCAGGAGGAAUGAACAACUCCGGAUGGGAGGAACGAACAACUCCGGAUGGGAGGAACGAACAACUCCAGACGCGCGCCGCUUUAAGAGCUGUAACAUUCACUGCGAAGGUCUGCAGCUUCACUCCUGAAGCCAGCGAGACCAUGAACCCACCAGAAGGAAGAAACUCCGAACACGUCCGAACAUCAGAAGGAACAAACUCCAGACACACCAUCUUUAAGAACUGUAAUACUCACCGCGAGGUUCGGCAGCUUCAGUCUUGAAGUCAAUGAGUCCAAGAACCCACCAAUUCUGGACACAGUAGGAUAGUGUGUUAUGAAGAUGUAUUUAUUAGGAGGUAAGCCUCCUCGAAAAAAUCAAAAGACCUUUGUUGCACCAAAUUCCUUGCUAUAAUGAUUCCUGUUAGAGUGAAACGCCUAUUUGCUUCCAGAGUAUAAAUUUCAUUCCAAUUGGAGGAAAAGGCUUAAAUGACUUCAAGAAACACAUUGUAAAUUUGCCACCUCUUUUGCAUUUUCCUGAGAUAUUUUCCUCAAGGAAUUGACGUGCAAAUCACCAAGGUCUACAUAUUUUUCCCAUUACCUACAAAAGUAGUGACUAUACCAAUUAGAAAUUUUGUUCACUAGUAAAAAAUCAAUAAGAGUACACUGCUUGGACACUUACAUAAGAAGUUAUAAUUUUUUUUUCUUUCUGAAUCAUUUCUCCUAAGCCGUUUUCUACUGACAGGAGUCUGUCUCUUCACAUUAGUGACAGGAAGAAAUAAUUAAGUGUAAGUUGUCACUUGUGAUCGGAAGAUCCAUGAAGUAAAAGUGAACUAAGUGGGGCAGAUGAAAUCCUGGCUGUCCUCUCUACAUCUGCUGAAAUAGACUUAGGAAUCAUCUCUGAAACAUUCCCACUUCUAAUUUCCAGAAUUUAUGUGGAUUACAAAUGAGAAUAAUCUAGAUUUUUCUUGUAGAAUCUUGAAGAGGCAUUCUUUAUUUUUAAUCACUUACCCUUAGGAAUAUCCUCAGAAUGUGCCUGAAAUUAGGACAAAUCUAUGUAUUAUAGUUAGAGUGAAAUAUUAGUAAUUGUUUAAUGUCACUACGCCUAACUUAACUGUUAGUGUGAAUUUUGAGUGGAUAAAUAAGGAAUAUUUAUUGCUCUCAUUGUUCAUUCAUUCAACAAGCAUUUAGUGAAUACCUUCCAUAUACCAGAGAUUUUUCAAGUAAUUGAGAAAAUAAAGAUAAUUAAGAUAGUUCACCUCAAGUUUCUCCCAGUUUAGAAGAAGAUAAAUUAGAAAAUUGAUGGUUAGAAUAUAGCAUGGUCAGAGCUAUGGGAAAAGAGAAUAUCAUAUGAGACUGGUGAACAGACAUGAGGAUGCAAUGCUUGUUCUUGGUCUGGAAGGAUACUUUGGAGCUAUUUAGGAGACUAAUGAUGGAAGACUUUGCUGGGUUGGGUAAAAUGUAGCAACUGCAAUAAUAGAGAAAAUUGCAGAAAAAAGGCCAGUGUCUGUCUAUUCUGGCUGCUGUAACAAAAAUACCCUAGACUGGAUGGCUUAUAAACAACAGAAAUUUAUUUCUCAUAUCUCUAGAUCCUGGAAUGUUCAAGAUUAAGGUGCUGGCUGAUUUAGUGUCUUUUGAGGGCCUGUUUCUUGUUGCUUCGUGGGAUGGUGUAAGGAACAAAGCAACUUUCUGGGCCAUCUUUUAUAAAGGCACUAAUACCAUGCACAAGGGCUCUGCACUUACGAUCUAAUCACCUACCAGAGGCCCCACCUCCUGAUAUCAUCACCUUGAGAGCGAGGAUCUCAACAUAUAAAUUUUAGGAGAACACAAAUAGACCAUAGUCACCAACAACUGCAAAGUCAAGUAGAUAUGAGGCUGCACCUCUGGGGAGCAGCAAGUAAUGUGGUCUAGCUGGGGAGAAGGGUAAGGAAGGAAUAAUGUAGGAGGUGAGCCUGAAGAAAGAGAGGCAAUGGUCAGAUCAUAAAGCCUCAAAUGCUUCCCUGAGAAGUUUGCAUUUUAUUCUGAAGAUUAUAGGAGGGCACUGUAGAUUUCCAAACAUGGCUAGUUUUGUAUUUUACAAGGAUUACUCUGGUAUUAAGAUAUUAGCAAGACUGGGGAUAAGGGACCAGUUAAGAAGAGAAAAAGAAGGAAUGAAGAUGCCCUCCCUUCAUCUCCAUCUUUUUAAUGGAAAGAUGGUUGUGCUUCUACCUGAAAAUGGAAAUAAUGAGAAGAAGCGACUUUCUUCUUUGGGAGGUGGAGGAUGAAGAGAAAGGCCAAGUUCAAUGUCACUGAAAACAGGACAGAAGGCUCUGAGCUAUGUGCUCUGCUAAGUGGAACUAUUUUGUUUACAUGCACCAACGCCCCAUUUGCAGAGAACCACGACGUAAUCAGUGCAAGAUACACAAAGAUGAGGAAGUUUGGAUUAAGAAACCUGCCCAGGCUCGCCCGCUAGAAAGUCAUAGAGGCAAGG